CCCUUAGAUGUUCUGGGCCGCACACGCGCUACACUGAAGGAGGCAGCGUGUACUCCUGGAUCGAAAGAUUUGGGUAACCCGCGAAUCUCCUUCGUGCUAGGGAUUGAGGUUUGCAAUUAUCCUUCAUGAACGAGGAAUUCCCAGUAAGUGCAAGUCAUAAGCUUGCGCUGACUACGUCCCUGCCCUUUGUACACACCGCCCGUCGCUCCUACCGAUUGAGCAAUCCGGUGAUUACUUUGGACUGGUGACAAGUCUGGUCCUGCCAGCCUCGUCACUGGAAAAUUGAGUAAACCAUAUCACUUAGAGGAAGGAGAAGUCGUAACA
rnacentral:rRNA from 1 species